CCUACGGGCGGCAGCAGUGAGGAAUAUUGGUCAAUGGACGAGAGUCUGAACCAGCCAAGUAGCGUGAAGGAUGACUGCCCUAUGGGUUGUAAACUUCUUUUAUAUGGGAAUAAAAUGUUCCACGUGUGGGAUUUUGUAUGUACCAUAUGAAUAAGGAUCGGCUAACUCCGUGCCAGCAGCCGCGGUAAUACGGAGGAUCCGAGCGUUAUCCGGAUUUAUUGGGUUUAAAGGGAGCGUAGGUGGAUUGUUAAGGAAGUUGUGAAAGUUUGCGGCUCAACCGUAAAAUUGCAGUUGAAACUGGCAGUCUGGAGUACAGUAGAGGUGGGCGGAAUUCGUGGUGUAGCGGUGAAAUGCUUAGAUAUCACGAAGAACUCCGAUUGCGAAGGCAGCUCACUGGACUGCAACUGACACUGAGGCUCGAAAGUGUGGGUAUCAAACAGGAUUAGAUACCCCAGUAGUC
rnacentral:rRNA from 1 species